rnacentral:rRNA from 2 species
GGGUUGUGAGGUUAAGCGACUAAGCGUACACGGUGGAUGCCCUGGCAGUCAGAGGCGAUGAAGGACGUGCUAAUCUGCGAUAAGCGCCGGUAAGGUGAUAUGAACCGUUAUAACCGGCGAUUUCCGAAUGGGGAAACCCAGUGUGAUUCGUCACACUAUCAUUAACUGAAUCCAUAGGUUAAUGAGGCGAACCGGGGGAACUGAAACAUCUAAGUACCCCGAGGAAAAGAAAUCAACCGAGAUUCCCCCAGUAGCGGCGAGCGAACGGGGAGGAGCCCAGAGCCUGAAUCAGCAUGUGUGUUAGUGGAAGCGUCUGGAAAGGCGCGCGAUACAGGGUGACAGCCCCGUACACAAAAGCGCAUGUGCUGUGAGCUCGAUGAGUAGGGCGGGACACGUGGUAUCCUGUCUGAAUAUGGGGGGACCAUCCUCCAAGGCUAAAUACUCCUGACUGACCGAUAGUGAACCAGUACCGUGAGGGAAAGGCGAAAAGAACCCCGGCGAGGGGAGUGAAAAAGAACCUGAAACCGUGUACGUACAAGCAGUGGGAGCACAGGUUUACCUGUGUGACUGCGUACCUUUUGUAUAAUGGGUCAGCGACUUAUAUUCUGUAGCAAGGUUAACCGAAUAGGGGAGCCGGAGGGAAACCGAGUCUUAAUUGGGCGUUAAGUUGCAGGGUAUAGACCCGAAACCCGGUGAUCUAGCCAUGGGCAGGUUGAAGGUUGGGUAACACUAACUGGAGGACCGAACCGACUAAUGUUGAAAAAUUAGCGGAUGACCUGUGGCUGGGGGUGAAAGGCCAAUCAAACCGGGAGAUAGCUGGUUCUCCCCGAAAGCUAUUUAGGUAGCGCCUCGUGAACUCAUCUCCGGGGGUAGAGCACUGUUUCGGCUAGGGGGCCAUCCCGGCUUACCAACCCGAUGCAAACUGCGAAUACCGGAGAAUGUUAUCACGGGAGACACACGGCGGGUGCUAACGUCCGUCGUGAAGAGGGAAACAACCCAGACCGCCAGCUAAGGUCCCAAAGUCAUGGUUAAGUGGGAAACGAUGUGGGAAGGCCCAGACAGCCAGGAUGUUGGCUUAGAAGCAGCCAUCAUUUAAAGAAAGCGUAAUAGCUCACUGGUCGAGUCGGCCUGCGCGGAAGAUGUAACGGGGCUAAACCAUGCACCGAAGCUGCGGCAGCGACACUGUGUGUUGUUGGGUAGGGGAGCGUUCUGUAAGCCUGUGAAGGUGGCCUGUGAGGGUUGCUGGAGGUAUCAGAAGUGCGAAUGCUGACAUAAGUAACGAUAAAGCGGGUGAAAAGCCCGCUCGCCGGAAGACCAAGGGUUCCUGUCCAACGUUAAUCGGGGCAGGGUGAGUCGACCCCUAAGGCGAGGCCGAAAGGCGUAGUCGAUGGGAAACAGGUUAAUAUUCCUGUACUUGGUGUUACUGCGAAGGGGGGACGGAGAAGGCUAUGUUGGCCGGGCGACGGUUGUCCCGGUUUAAGCGUGUAGGCUGGUUUUCCAGGCAAAUCCGGAAAAUCAAGGCUGAGGCGUGAUGACGAGGCACUACGGUGCUGAAGCAACAAAUGCCCUGCUUCCAGGAAAAGCCUCUAAGCAUCAGGUAACAUCAAAUCGUACCCCAAACCGACACAGGUGGUCAGGUAGAGAAUACCAAGGCGCUUGAGAGAACUCGGGUGAAGGAACUAGGCAAAAUGGUGCCGUAACUUCGGGAGAAGGCACGCUGACACGUAGGUGAAGUGAUUUACUCACGGAGCUGAAGUCAGUCGAAGAUACCAGCUGGCUGCAACUGUUUAUUAAAAACACAGCACUGUGCAAACACGAAAGUGGACGUAUACGGUGUGACGCCUGCCCGGUGCCGGAAGGUUAAUUGAUGGGGUCAGCGCAAGCGAAGCUCCUGAUCGAAGCCCCGGUAAACGGCGGCCGUAACUAUAACGGUCCUAAGGUAGCGAAAUUCCUUGUCGGGUAAGUUCCGACCUGCACGAAUGGCGUAAUGAUGGCCAGGCUGUCUCCACCCGAGACUCAGUGAAAUUGAACUCGCUGUGAAGAUGCAGUGUACCCGCGGCAAGACGGAAAGACCCCGUGAACCUUUACUAUAGCUUGACACUGAACAUUGAGCCUUGAUGUGUAGGAUAGGUGGGAGGCUUUGAAGCGUGGACGCCAGUCUGCGUGGAGCCGACCUUGAAAUACCACCCUUUAAUGUUUGAUGUUCUAACGUGGACCCGUAAUCCGGGUUGCGGACAGUGUCUGGUGGGUAGUUUGACUGGGGCGGUCUCCUCCUAAAGAGUAACGGAGGAGCACGAAGGUUGGCUAAUCCUGGUCGGACAUCAGGAGGUUAGUGCAAUGGCAUAAGCCAGCUUGACUGCGAGCGUGACGGCGCGAGCAGGUGCGAAAGCAGGUCAUAGUGAUCCGGUGGUUCUGAAUGGAAGGGCCAUCGCUCAACGGAUAAAAGGUACUCCGGGGAUAACAGGCUGAUACCGCCCAAGAGUUCAUAUCGACGGCGGUGUUUGGCACCUCGAUGUCGGCUCAUCACAUCCUGGGGCUGAAGUAGGUCCCAAGGGUAUGGCUGUUCGCCAUUUAAAGUGGUACGCGAGCUGGGUUUAGAACGUCGUGAGACAGUUCGGUCCCUAUCUGCCGUGGGCGCUGGAGAACUGAGGGGGGCUGCUCCUAGUACGAGAGGACCGGAGUGGACGCAUCACUGGUGUUCGGGUUGUCAUGCCAAUGGCACUGCCCGGUAGCUAAAUGCGGAAGAGAUAAGUGCUGAAAGCAUCUAAGCACGAAACUUGCCCCGAGAUGAGUUCUCCCUGAGACUUUAAGUCUCCUGAAGGAACGUUGAAGACGACGACGUUGAUAGGCCGGGUGUGUAAGCGCAGCGAUGCGUUGAGCUAACCGGUACUAAUGAACCGUGAGGCUUAACCUUACAACGCCGAAG